rnacentral:tRNA from 1 species
UCCCUGGUGGCUCAGAGGUUAAAGCGUCUGCCUGAAAUGCAGGAGACCUGGGCUCGAUCCCUGGGUCGGGAA